rnacentral:rRNA from 1 species
UACGUAGGUGGCAAGCGUUGUCCGGAUUUACUGGGCGUAAAGGGCGUGCAGGCGGUCUGUUAAGUCUAGGGUGAAAGCUCCCCGGCUCAACUGGGAGAGGUUCCUUGGAUACUGGCGGACUUGAGGGAGGCAGAGGAAAGUGAAUUCCCGGUGUAGGUGGUGAUAUGCGUAGAUAAUCGGGGAGGAACACCAGUGGCGAAGGCGGGCUUUCUGGG